rnacentral:rRNA from 1 species
UACGUAGGUGGCUAGCGUUGUCCGGAUUUACUGGGCGUAAAGAGCGCGCAGGCGGUCGUUCAAGUCGAGUGUGAAAGCCCCCGGCUCAACUGGGGAGGGUCAUACGAUACUGAUCGACUCGAAGGCAGGAGAGGGAAGCGGAAUUCCCGGUGUAGUGGUGAAAUGCGUAGAUAUCGGGAGGAACACCAGUGGCGAAGGCGGCUUUCUGGCCUGUUCUUGACGCUGAGGCGCGAAAGCUAGGGUAGCAAACGGG